CCCUGCGACUUUUGGUAUUUGGUAGAGGCGACGUAGGAUGCUUUCACUGUCUGCACCACAGCAUUCAUCAAGUUCUUGGCUGCCUGGAUCAGGGACAUGGCGCUGUCCACCUACAAGGCAGACAAGGGUGGUGAGAAGCACAGGCCUGACCUCCAGCAUCGUGGACACAGACACUUACAGCAGCCUGAAUUUCCGACCCACUUUCGAGCACAAGUUUUAGUGUGGAAGCAAACAGCGAGGGGUGGAAGGCUAAUGCGGAAGCUUUGGAAUCACAACUGUGCAGGGACAGAACCUGCUUUUUAAUUCUUUAAUAUAAGACAAGAAAUGAGAGAAAGGGUUGAUGAAAGUGUGGAACCCUUUCCCUGGUGGACAUUUCCAGCUAUUCAAGGUGAACUGAAAGUGGCUUCAGAAUGUACACCUGAAGAAAGAGGGCUGAGCACUAAGGCCAUACUCGAGCAGCACCUGGAGGCCUGCUGCCCACCUCCAGCCCACAGACCUGCGGCUGAAGCUCCUCCCUCUCAGCUUCCCAAAGUGCUCAUGACGGAGCAGGACAUAAGGCAGCGAUGUGCUCGCUGUUCAUGACAGAUUUCCAAGGAGUGAAAUCAAAGACUCCUUAGAAAUAUUUCUUGGCAUCCUCCCCAAAACAUAAAUGCUAUUGAUUGAAGAUUUAAUGACUCAAAUGAAUGCAAUGGCUCUGACUGGCUUUCUUGAAUGUACCACUGUUAUUUUUUUAAACCCAUGAAUAAUUAAAUAGUUCAUACCCAUGGCAUCACUGAGAUGGCUAAAGGCAGCAAUCUUUUUCAAAUUUCACGAUCCUUUCAACAAACACUGCAUUGACUAAAUUUCAGCCCUUUCCUGACCCAGGGCUCUAUCGUAAACCAAAGCCCCAGGGCACUGCAGAGGAGGCCCAGGACCUGGUCUGUCUCUAGCUGAGGAGGCUACAAGUGACUAGCAGGUGCCACAACUUAGUUUAACUUCAGUCUACUGCCAGAGAGAGAGAAAUGGUGUUCUGAAUACUGAGGGUGUUUUCCUGGAAACAAGAAAGGGGACAGGGAAGGUGGCAGCACAAGCUGAACUGCCCCACAGAGCGCUUCCUUACCCGGGCACUCUGGCCAGCUAUCAGCUGAUCGUCUUCUGUCUGGACGCUUGUCCUACUUCUGACAUCGAAAUCUUCUGUCUCAAAGUCAGAGUCAUCCAACUCCUCAGGGGUCUGCCACCAAGACAGAGAUCACAAGUCAGACACAUCUCUGGGUCACAGGCCACCAGCCCCCAGCCACCCUGAGCCUCUUGGCCAGGUGCACGGAGGCCCAGAAUUCUGGAUUUUAAUGUGCAGUGUUCUGAACAGUAUGAUGAAUAAAGUCACAAUCACUCAGCA